rnacentral:lncRNA from 1 species
ACAGCAUUACAUAGAACAUGUAUCUCAUCCUAGCUACACUUCCCACCACAGCAUUACAUAGAACAUGUAUCUCAUCCUAGCUACACUUCCCACCACUUCAUUACAUAGAACAUGUAUCUCAUCCUAGCUACACUUCCCACCACAGCAUUACAUAGAACAUGUAUCUCCUCCUAGCUACACUUCCCACCACUUCAUUACAUAGAACAUGUAUCUCAUCCUAGCUACACUUCCCACCACAGCAUUACAUAGAACAUGUAUCUCCUCCUAGGUACACUUCCCACCACAGCAUUACAUAGAACAUGUAUCUCAUCCUAGCUACACUUCCCACCACAGCAUUACAUAGAACAUGUAUCUCAUCCUAGCUACACUUCCCACCACAGCAUUACAUAGAACAUGUAUCUCAUCCUAGCUACACUUCCCACCACAGCAUUACAUAGAACAUGUAUCUCCUCCUAGCUACACUUCCCACCACAGCAUUACAUAGAACAUGUAUCUCAUCCUAGCUACACUUCCCACCACAGCAUUACAUAGAACAUGUAUCUAUAUGGCUCUCUAUUCUCUCCAGUUUAAAAACCUGACCCCCCCAAAAAAACAGCAUUUGGGGAUUUGAAUUCCGUCAGAGGUAAAAGAGAUUAGCCCAACUGUGAAGCACUAAACCCCUCUCUCUACCAGGAAGCGGGC